GUCACGCUUCGCGUGUUCAUACCUCGAGGCGAUAACAUCUGGCUCAAGUGACCGCACGCGUUAAUCUGUAUAUUGCAUAUUUCAGAGGGAAAGGAAGUCACGAGUUGACACAAGAGUUGUUUACUGGAAUCAGAAAACGGGAUGACUAUUUAUUUUCACGAUAGAGAAUAUGCUAAUGUGUGAAGUUUCUACUAGUCUGAUCAACAGAUGCAUGCAGACAUACAGCCCGGAUGAGCCAUUCGUUCUCAAUGACAUUCGUAACAACAGAUAAAAGCUUACACUUAUUGAGAUCAGGAAACAAUAUUUCCAUGUGGUUCAUCAUUUGUAACCUGCUUACAUAUCGUGUUCCAGCACAGAACCAACAUGCGUCUUUUUAAAGCGCUCGUUUUGAAUACAUCUUCAGACAUUAGGAGGGGUGUACUGCUCUUCUUAGAAGACGGCAAAUCGAAAAGCUUAUAGCGGUAAUCAACAUUCAUGGGAAUAACGAAAGCAUGUACAGACAGUAGUAAAAGAAGUAAUACUCAACUGAUUUGUUGAGUCAACGGCGCAGAAUUAAAUAUGCGAAUUGCUAUUUUUUCAAUUAGAAAUGAACAUAAUAAUAUUAAGAAAUGCUUGAUGUUAUUGAUUACUCACAUUUUAAUUCUGCUUAUUUCAUUUGAACAAGAAAUGAAAAUGAUUCAUAAUCGUUUGAAAAACUGAUCUGAAAAAAGUAUUUAAGUUGAAUAAAAUGUUAGUUUAAUCCGA